UAAAACAUUUUGAUAGUUUUCAUAUUAUAUUGUUGCCAAUUUAUGAAAGUUUUGGUUACUGCAAUAAAUUUGCAAUCCAGACGAUUUAUUAAAGGGACACUAUAGUCACCCAGACCACUUUGAGCUCAAUGAAGUGGUCAGGGAGCCAGGUCCCUCUAGGGUUAACCCUGCCUGCUGUAAACAUAGCAGUUUCAAAGAAACUGCUAUGUUUACGUUUUGGGUUAAGCCAGCCUCUAGUGGCUGUCUUCCG